GAAUGAGGCUGAAAGGCCAAGCAUCUCCAGUAUCCAACAAGUGCCAUUAUCUCAGCUGGGAGUGUUAUUCCACGUAGCCCAUGGUAGAACCUGAGGGUUCUGAGUAAAGAUGGGAACGUGCAAAUGGGUUUCACUGGAGCAGAGCAGAACAGUCAGAUGAAGGAGGAGCAGGUCUGACGACACAAACGAAUGAACUUCUAUAUAAAACUUGAGGUAGAACAUUGCUUUCAAGGUUUGGAAGUGCUUGACAUCAGAAUGACGACGACACAAAAAAAAGGACAACACCAUGGCGGAUAUGGAGCAUGACUUCUGAGGUAGUACCAAGCUUAUGCAGACCAAGUGCUACGCUACUUGUUUUGAAAACAAAGGAAGACACAGAUAUUUGCUGCUUCCCCGAAGACAUUCAUUCCGGUUGAGUCAAUCACCAAAAAAGCAUCCUGAGAAAUAGCGAAAGUGUACAAAAUCAUCAAAUCCAUGGAGAGGUGGCCUUUCUCGGCCUGAAUUUUUGGAGUCAAGUUAGAAGGAUUCAUCUUAAUCCAGUCAUCGUGAAAUAAAAAAUAGAUCACAAAGUACUCCUAAAGCUGCUAAUGUGGAA